UACAGAGGGGGCAAGCGUUGUUCGGAAUUACUGGGCGUAAAGCGCACGUAGGCGGAUUUGUAAGUCAGGGGUGAAAUCCCGGGGCUCAACCUCGGAACUGCCUUUGAUACUGCAAAUCUCGAGUCCGGAAGAGGUGAGUGGAAUUCCUAGUGUAGAGGUGAAAUUCGUAGAUAUUCGCAAGAACACCAGUGGCGAAGGCGGCUCACUGGCCCGAUACUGACGCUGAGGCACGAAAGCGUGGGGGGCAAACAGG
rnacentral:rRNA from 1 species